rnacentral:lncRNA from 1 species
UUAAGCUUUUCCAAAUGAUCUUGAGGAACAAUAAUGUCAGUUAAAUUGAAAGAAGGGAAGUUAUCUAACUAAUUAUAAUGAGGUCAAACAUGCAUUUCAUUUUAUCGUUUUUUAUGUUGGAACAAUUCGGUUUCUGUAUUAAAGCUGAUUUAUUAGUUGCAAAUGGAGAAGCUAAUUGGUCAAUUUGGAAAGAAUGGUCUGCUUGCACUGUAACAUGUGGAGAUGGAGUAAGCUUGCGAACACGAAUUUGUAAUAAAAGUUUUUUUCAAAACAGCUGUCCAGGAGUUGCUUUAGAAGUUUUACCUUGUAAUUACAAAGAAUGCCCUAAAGAAAAUGGUAAGUUUACAU